rnacentral:tRNA from 1 species
GCCAGUGUGGUGUAGUAGUUUGAGUGUUGGACUACAACUCUGGAGACCAGGGUUCAAUUCCCAGUUUGGCC